GACAGAGGGUGCAAACGUUGCUCGGAAUUACUGGGCGUAAAGCGCGUGUAGGUGGAUUGGUGUGUCAGAUGUGAAAGCCCUGGGCUCAACCCAGGAACUGCACCUGAAACUACCAGUCUUGAGUGGUGGAGAGGGAAGUGGAAUUCCUGGUGUAGAGGUGAAAUUCGUAGAUAUCAGGAGGAACACCAGUGGCGAAGGCGGCUCCUGGACACUAACUGACGCUGAGACGCGAAAGCGUGGGGAGCAAACAGG
rnacentral:rRNA from 1 species